rnacentral:misc_RNA from 1 species
GUGGGAGGGGGCUUGCCCCCGAUAGCGUUGGUUCAGUCAAUGUCCUGGGACUGACACACUGCAAUCGGGGGCAAGCCCCCUCCCAC